rnacentral:rRNA from 1 species
GGACGAACGCUGGCGGCGUGCCUAAUACAUGCAAGUCGUACGCUUCUUUUUCCACCGGAGCUUGCUCCACCGGAAAAAGAAGAGUGGCGAACGGGUGAGUAACACGUGGGUAACCUGCCCAUCAGAAGGGGAUAACACUUGGAAACAGGUGCUAAUACCGUAUAACAAUCGAAACCGCAUGGUUUUGAUUUGAAAGGCGCUUUCGGGUGUCGCUGAUGGAUGGACCCGCGGUGCAUUAGCUAGUUGGUGAGGUAACGGCUCACCAAGGCUACGAUGCAUAGCCGACCUGAGAGGGUGAUCGGCCACAUUGGGACUGAGACACGGCCCAAACUCCUACGGGAGGCAGCAGUAGGGAAUCUUCGGCAAUGGACGAAAGUCUGACCGAGCAACGCCGCGUGAGUGAAGAAGGUUUUCGGAUCGUAAAACUCUGUUGUUAGAGAAGAACAAGGAUGAGAGUAACUGUUCAUCCCUUGACGGUAUCUAACCAGAAAGCCACGGCUAACUACGUGCCAGCAGCCGCGGUAAUACGUAGGUGGCAAGCGUUGUCCGGAUUUAUUGGGCGUAAAGCGAGCGCAGGCGGUUUCUUAAGUCUGAUGUGAAAGCCCCCGGCUCAACCGGGGAGGGUCAUUGGAAACUGGGAGACUUGAGUGCAGAAGAGGAGAGUGGAAUUCCAUGUGUAGCGGUGAAAUGCGUAGAUAUAUGGAGGAACACCAGUGGCGAAGGCGGCUCUCUGGUCUGUAACUGACGCUGAGGCUCGAAAGCGUGGGGAGCAAACAGGAUUAGAUACCCUGGUAGUCCACGCCGUAAACGAUGAGUGCUAAGUGUUGGAGGGUUUCCGCCCUUCAGUGCUGCAGCUAACGCAUUAAGCACUCCGCCUGGGGAGUACGACCGCAAGGUUGAAACUCAAAGGAAUUGACGGGGGCCCGCACAAGCGGUGGAGCAUGUGGUUUAAUUCGAAGCAACGCGAAGAACCUUACCAGGUCUUGACAUCCUUUGACCACUCUAGAGAUAGAGCUUCCCCUUCGGGGGCAAAGUGACAGGUGGUGCAUGGUUGUCGUCAGCUCGUGUCGUGAGAUGUUGGGUUAAGUCCCGCAACGAGCGCAACCCUUAUUGUUAGUUGCCAUCAUUCAGUUGGGCACUCUAGCAAGACUGCCGGUGACAAACCGGAGGAAGGUGGGGAUGACGUCAAAUCAUCAUGCCCCUUAUGACCUGGGCUACACACGUGCUACAAUGGGAAGUACAACGAGUCGCGAAGUCGCGAGGCUAAGCUAAUCUCUUAAAGCUUCUCUCAGUUCGGAUUGUAGGCUGCAACUCGCCUACAUGAAGCCGGAAUCGCUAGUAAUCGCGGAUCAGCACGCCGCGGUGAAUACGUUCCCGGGCCUUGUACACACCGCCCGUCACACCACGAGAGUUUGUAACACCCGAAGUCGGUGAGGUAACCUUUUGGAGCCAGCCGCCUAAGGUGGGAUAGAUGA